UACGAAGGGUGCAAACGUUGCUCGGAAUUAUUGGGCGUAAAGCGCACGUAGGCGGCUAUCUAAGUCGGAUGUGAAAUCCCUCGGCUUAACCAAGGAAGUGCACCCGAAACUGGAUAGCUUGAGUACAGAAGAGGAUCGCGGAAUUCCCGGUGUAGAGGUGAAAUUCGUAGAUAUCGGGAGGAACACCAGUGGCGAAGGCGGCGAUCUGGGCCGAUACUGACGCUGAGGAGCGAAAGCGUGGGGAGCGAACAGG
rnacentral:rRNA from 1 species